rnacentral:rRNA from 1 species
GAUGAACGCUGGCGGCGUGCCUAAUACAUGCAAGUCGAGCGAACAGACGAGGAGCUUGCUCCUCUGACGUUAGCGGCGGACGGGUGAGUAACACGUGGAUAACCUACCUAUAAGACUGGGAUAACUUCGGGAAACCGGAUCUAAUACCGGAUAAUAUAUUGAACCGCAUGGUUCAAUAGUGAAAGACGGUUUUGCUGUCACUUAGAGAUGUAUCCGCGCCGCAUUAGCUAGUUGGUAAGGUAACGGCUUACCCAGGCUACGAUGCGAAGCCGACCGGAGAGGGUGAGCGGCCAGCCUGGAAGUGUGACCGGCUCCAGACUCCUACGGAAGGGACCAGUAGGGAAUCUUCAGGAAUGGGCGAAGACCUGACGAAAAAGCACCAAGUGAGUGAUGAAGGUCUUCUGAUCGUAAAACUAUGUUAUUAGGGAAGAAAAAAUGUGUAAGUAACGAUGAACGAAUUGACGGUACCUACUCAAAAAGCCACGGCUAAAUACGUG